CUUUGAUGAAAAAAAAAAAAAAUCUUUCAGUAAUACACGGCUCAACAGACCUCUUUGCCUCUUUUGAUAAUCCCUAACACAAAAAAUCUUCUUGUGUACAUCUUGCUGCAAGGGGGCUUUUCAUCGUCAUCUUUGUCACCGGUCGCCAUCCUCGUCUUUGUCUCCGGUCGCCAUCAAAACAAGCCUUCUCUCUCGCCCUUUAUCUCAUUGGUAAGCAAAAUUCUUUCUUACUAUCAAAAUAUUCCAAAGCCCUAAUUACCUUUCUCUUUUAAUUCGCCCUAAGUACAGCCAUAGCUUGCUCUUAAUUACCUGAAGAUCCAUAUAUAUAUAUACAGAGAGAGCCAUCUCUCUCGCCCUAUGACAAAUCGCCCUAAGCCUUAAUUUCCUCUCUCUCUCCCCUUGACCCUCUUUCAGUUCGCCAUCAAAGCAUGCCUUCUCACUCGCCCUUUGUCUGAAAGAAAUGCUGGAGUGAUAACUUUUCUUAAAGGGAUUCGAUGGCAGAUUAGCAGACUAAGGAAAUUCAUAAAACUGAUCUGAUCCAUAUUUGUUUAUGACAUAAUGCGCUUCAUCUUCAUUUUGGUGAGCUUCAAAUCGUGUUUGAAAAUUUGUUUCUCAGGUACGUGCUUGGAUUUUGUACCAUGGACAAUGCGGUGAAGGAAGUGUGAAAAAUUGGAAGUCAACUUGUGCCAAAAAUUAAUGAACAAUGUGAAGAUUGACAUAUUGAUCUAUUUUUGGCAAAUAUUGGAUUUUCUUUUUAAUUUUGGCACAUUGAACAAUGGUGAAUUGUAAAAUGCCUUAAUCUUUUGAUAUGUUUAAUGGUGAAUUUAAAUAUGGAUUGU